CAGAAGGAAAAAGAAUGGCGUGAAGCUUCUCAACUCAGAGUUCAGGCACUGGAAGAAACUAUAGCUGAAAAAGAUAGGGAGUUCAGACACUAGGAAAAGUUGAGAUUUCGUAAGUUGAAGGAUGAUUUUGAGUAUAACUUCAAACCUAUAUUAGAACGAGAUCAAGAGUUAGAGAAAUAUGAUACGGUGAUUGGUAAAGUUAAGGAAGAUGAGCACGUUAAGACUGCUCAAGUUAGUGAAUUGUGUGUGAAGAUUGAUGAAUUCAACAUCAAAUUACAAAAUGAACAGAAGUCCAAAGAGGAGCUACAGAAACACUACCAAAAGAGAUUGCAAGAAUAUCAGAAUCAAUUUAAAGCUUUUCAAGAAGAGAAAGAUAAUGUAGUUGCUAAAGAACGGGAGGAGCUUUCGUCUUAUCGGAAAAAUCUGGAGCUACAAUUAAGGUGAUCAUAAUUAAUGAACUCUAAAGGUAGGG